UAAAUGUAAAAUUUGUCAGAAAGAGUUUGCUUACUCUUCUAGCUUAAAAUGGCAUGAGAAAAGACAUGAUGGCAUAAAAUAUGCAUGUAAAAUUUGUCACAGAGAAUUCAAUGACCCCUCUAAUUUAAUAACUCAUAAUAAAAAACAUACUGGUAAUAUGCCAUUUAAAUGUAAAAUUUGUCUGAAAGAGUUUUAUCGGUCCCAUCACUUGGAAAAACAUGAGUUAAUUCAUUCUGGUAUAAAGCCAUUUAAAU